GCGCCCGUAGCUCUGUUGGCAGAGCGGUGUGACGGUACCCCACGGUUCCGGGUUCAAGUCCCGGCGGUCGCU